rnacentral:rRNA from 1 species
CGGGCUGUCGGGGCAACCCGGCAGUCAGUGGCGAACGGGUGAGUAAUGCAUCGGAACGUGUCCCGUAGUGGGGGAUAACCCGGCGAAAGCCGGACUAAUACCGCAUAUGCUCUACGGAGGAAAGCGGGGGACCCGAAAGGGCCUCGUGCUAUGGGAGCGGCCGAUGUCCGAUUAGCUUGUUGGUGGGGUAAUGGCCUACCAAGGCGACGAUCGGUAGCUGGUCUGAGAGGAUGAUCAGCCACACUGGGACUGAGACACGGCCCAGACUCCUACGGGAGGCAGCAGUGGGGAAUUUUGGACAAUGGGGGCAACCCUGAUCCAGCCAUGCCGCGUGCGGGAAGAAGGCCUUCGGGUUGUAAACCGCUUUUAGCCGGAAAGAAAAGGCACAGGCCAAUACCCUGUGUUCUUGACGGUACCGGCGGAAUAAGCACCGGCUAACUACGUGCCAGCAGCCGCGGUAAUACGUAGGGUGCGAGCGUUA